rnacentral:rRNA from 1 species
UACACUCCUGCGGGAGGCAGCAGUGGGGAAUUUUGGACAAUGGGCGAAAGCCUGAUCCAGCCAUGCCGCGUGCAGGAUGAAGGCCUUCGGGUUGUAAACUGCUUUUGUACGGAACGAAACGGCCUUUUCUAAUAAAGAGGGCUAAUGACGGUACCGUAAGAAUAAGCACCGGCUAACUACGUGCCAGCAGCCGCGGUAAUACGUAGGGUGCAAGCGUUAAUCGGAAUUACUGGGCGUAAAGCGUGCGCAGGCGGUUAUGUAAGACAGUUGUGAAAUCCCCGGGCUCAACCUGGGAACUGCAUCUGUGACUGCAUAGCUAGAGUACGGUAGAGGGGGAUGGAAUUCCGCGUGUAGCAGUGAAAUGCGUAGAUAUGCGGAGGAACACCGAUGGCGAAGGCAAUCCCCUGGACCUGUACUGACGCUCAUGCACGAAAGCGUGGGGAGCAAACAGGAUUAGAAACCCUAGUAGUCCC